GACGAACGCUGGCGGCGUGCUUAACACAUGCAAGUCGAACGAAGUGGCGAACGGGUGAGUAACGCGUAAUCAACCUGCCCUUCAGAGGGGGACAACAGUUGGAAACGACUGCUAAUACCGCAUACUGAAGGGGGGGAUUGCGUCUGAUUGGCUAGUUGGAGGGGUAACGGCCUACCAAGGCGAUGAUCAGUAGCCGGUCUUGGGGGGUGAACGGCCACAUUGGGACUGGAACACGGCCCAGACUCCUACGGGGGGCAGCAGUGGGGAAACUUCCGCAAUUGACGAAAGUCUGACUGAGCAAAGCCGCGUGAGUGAUGACGGCCUUCGGGUUGUAAAGCUCUGUUAAUCGGGACGCGGUACCGGAAGAGAAAGCCACGGCUAACUACGUGCCAGCAGCCGCGGUAAUUC
rnacentral:rRNA from 1 species